AACGAACGCUGGCGGCAUGCCUAACACAUGCAAGUCGAACGAAGCCUUCGGGCUUAGUGGCGCACGGGUGCGUAACACGUGGGAAUCUGCCCUUCGGUUCGGAAUAACAGUUAGAAAUGACUGCUAAUACCGGAUGAUGACGAAAGUCCAAAGAUUUAUCGCCGAAGGAUGAGCCCGCGUAGGAUUAGGUAGUUGGUAGGGUAAUGGCCUACCAAGCCGACGAUCCUUAGCUGGUCUGAGAGGAUGAUCAGCCACACUGGGACUGAGACACGGCCCAGACUCCUACGGGAGGCAGCAGUGGGGAAUAUUGGACAAUGGGCGAAAGCCUGAUCCAGCAAUGCCGCGUGAGUGAUGAAGGCCUUAGGGUUGUAAAGCUCUUUUACCAGGGAUGAUAAUGACAGUACCUGGAGAAUAAGCUCCGGCUAACUCCGUGCCAGCAGCCGCGGUAAUACGGAGGGAGCUAGCGUUGUUCGGAAUUACUGGGCGUAAAGCGCACGUAGGCGGUUACUCAAGUCAGAGGUGAAAGCCCGGGGCUCAACCCCGGAACUGCCUUUGAAACU
rnacentral:rRNA from 1 species